CCUACGGGAGGCAGCAGUGAGGAAUAUUGGUCAAUGGACGAGAGUCUGAACCAGCCAAGUAGCGUGAAGGAUGACGGCCCUAUGGGUUGUAAACUUCUUUUAUAUGGGAAUAAAACAGGGUAUGCAUACCCUCUUGUAUGUACCAUAUGAAUAAGGAUCGGCUAACUCCGUGCAAGCAGCCGCGGUAAUACGGAGGAUCCGAGCGUUAUCCGGAUUUAUUGGGUUUAAAGGGAGCGUAGGUGGAUUGUUAAGUCAGUUGUGAAAGUUUGCGGCUCAACCGUAAAAUUGCAGUUGAAACUGGCAGUCUUGAGUACAGUAGAGGUGGGCGGAAUUCGUGGUGUAGCGGUGAAAUGCUUAGAUAUCACGAAGAACUCCGAUUGCGAAGGCAGCUCACUGGACUGCAACUGACACUGAUGCUCGAAAGUGUGGGGAGCAAACAGGAUUAGAUACCCGAGUAGUC
rnacentral:rRNA from 1 species